rnacentral:rRNA from 1 species
AUUGAACGCUGGCGGCAUGCCUUACACAUGCAAGUCGAACGGCAGCACGGGAGCAAUCCUGGUGGCGAGUGGCGAACGGGUGAGUAAAGUAUCGGAACGUGCCCAGUCGUGGGGGAUAACGUAGCGAAAGUUACGCUAAUACCGCAUACGAUCUAUGGAUGAAAGCGGGGGAUCGCAAGACCUCGCGCGAUUGGAGCGGCCGAUAUCGGAUUAGGUAGUUGGUGGGGUAAAGGCUCACCAAGCCGACGAUCUGUAGCUGGUCUGAGAGGACGACCAGCCACACUGGGACUGAGACACGGCCCAGACUCCUACGGGAGGCAGCAGUGGGGAAUGUUGGACAAUGGGAGAAAGCCUGAUCCAGCCAUGCCGCGUGCAGGAUGAAGGCCUUCGGGUUGUAAACUGCUUUUGUACGGAACGAAAAGGUUUGGCCUAAUAAGCUGAGCUCAUGACGGUACCGUAAGAAUAAGCACCGGCUAACUACGUGCCAGCAGCCGCGGUAA